GGUGAGGUUUUGCACGCCCAUCUUCCAGUUGCAGCACGGUCUCCACUAAACUGCCAGUCUUAUAAGCCUCACUGGAAAGGGAAAAGCACCAGUCCAACGUCUCUUAGCAAGUUUACGGCUGAACUACAAGUUCCUCCCUCCCACAACUUAAAAUGAACAGAAGUUUCAAGAUGGUCUCUCAAGACCUUCAGCUUUUGAGCUUUUGUCCCUGAACAAGAAUAAGCGGCCAAGGACACAAUCGCAAGAAGGGAGCAGCCAGCUCCAAAGGGCACUCCCAACUCUUCAUCACCACAACCAGAACACUCUACAAGUAUCAAGACCACAUAGCCAUGAGUACUACAGUUGGAAGAAGUAGCCUUGAAUGCAUGAAGUUGCUCCAUACUGGAGUUUUGGUCUAUCGAGAAAAAGGAGCUUUGGGCACAAUAUAUCCUUGUUUACACACAUCCCAUAUUGUAUGAGACUCCUGAAGAUCAAGACGCUGUUGUACAUUCGGAUCAUCAGGUUAAGGUUAAAAUGAAUCACAGGCGAUAUUUUGGUAAGAUCCUAACGAGCCUUCCCACCAGUAACAUCUUCAGAGAAUUUCAGUCCACCCACCUC